rnacentral:rRNA from 1 species
AUUUACCCUUUCCAGAGAUGGAUAGUUCCUUCGGGACGGCGGACAGGUGCUGCAUGGCUGUCGUCAGCUCGUGUCGUGAGAUGUUCGGUUAAGUCCGGCAACGAGCGCAACCCACAUCCUUAGUUGCCAGCAGUUCGGCUGGGCACUCUAGGGAAACUGCCCGUGAUAAGCGGGAGGAAGGUGUGGAUGACGUCAAGUCCUCAUGGCCCUUACGGGUUGGGCUACACACGUGCUACAAUGGUGGUGACAGUGGGUUAAUCCCAAAAAGCCAUCUCAGUUCGGAUUGUCGUCUGCAACUCGACGGCAUGAAGUCGGAAUCGCUAGUAAUCGCGUAACAGCAUGACGCGGUGAAUACGUUCCCGGGUCUUGUACACACCGA